rnacentral:rRNA from 1 species
UACGUAGGGUGCGAGCGUUAAUCGGAAUUACUGGGCGUAAAGCGUGCGCAGGCGGUCUCGCAAGUCCGAUGUGAAAUCCCCGGGCUCAACCUGGGAACUGCAUUUGUGACUGCACAGCUGGAGUGCGGCAGAGGGGGAUGGAAUUCCGCGUGUAGCAGUGAAAUGCGUAGAUAUGCGGAGGAACACCGAUGGCGAAGGCAAUCCCCUGGGCCUGCACUGACGCUCAUGCACGAAAGCGUGGGGAGCAAACAGG